rnacentral:rRNA from 1 species
CAGGACGUCACAGAGGGUGAGAAUCCCGUACGUGACCGGUGGUCAACCCCAUGUGAGGCUCCUUCNACNAGUCNAGUUGUUUGGGAAUGCAGCUCUAAAUGGGUGGUAAAUUUCAUCUAAAGCUAAAUACUGGCCNGAGACCGAUAGCGCACAAGUANAGUGAUCGAAAGAUGAAAAGCACUUUGNAAAGAGAGUUAAAAAGUACGUGAAAUUGUUGAAAGGGAAGCGCUUGCAACCAGACUUGCCCGCGGGUGAUCAACCGUCCUUCGGGGCGGUGCACUCGCCCGCGAUCAGGCCAGUAUCGGUUUCGGCGGCCGGACAAAGACUUCGGGAACGUAGCUCCCCCCGGGGAGUGUUAUAGCCCGUCGUGUAAUACGGUUAGCUGGGACCGAGGACCGCGCUUCGGCUAGGAUACUGGCGUAAUGGUUGUCAGCGACCCGUCUUGAAACACGGACCAAGGAGUCUAACAUCUAUGCGAGUGUUUGGGUGUUAAACCCAUGCGCGUAAUGAAAGUGAACGGAGGUGGGAACCUUUCGGGGGGCACCAUCGACCGAUCCUGAUGUCUUCGGAUGGAUUUGAGUACGAGCAUAGCUGUUGGGACCCGAAAGAUGGUGAACUAUGCGUGAAUAGGGUGAAGCCAGAGGAAACUCUGGUGGANNNUCGCAGCGGUUCUGACGUGCAAAUCGAUCGUCAAAUUUGCGUAUAGGGGCGAAAGACUAAUCGAACCAUCUAAACGUUCCACUACUANAUGGAAUAUA